CGCGGGGUGGAGCAGCACNNACGGUAGCUCGUCGGGCUCAUAACCCGAAGGUCGCAGGUUCAAAUCCUGUCCCCGCAACCA
rnacentral:tRNA from 1 species